rnacentral:rRNA from 1 species
UACGAAGGGGGCUAGCGUUGUUCGGAUUUACUGGGCGUAAAGCGCACGUAGGCGGAUUGUUAAGUCAGGGGUGAAAUCCCGGAGCUCAACUCCGGAACUGCCUUUGAUACUGGCAAUCUUGAGACUGGAAGAGGUUAGUGGAAUUCCCAGUGUAGAGGUGAAAUUCGUAGAUAUUGGGAAGAACACCGGUGGCGAAGGCGGCUAUCUGGCCCGUAAUUGACGCUGAGGCGCGAAAGCGUGGGGAGCAAACAGG